rnacentral:lncRNA from 1 species
ACCGUCUAGACUCCAGAGACUCCAGAGACAGACUAGAGAGCCAGCCUUGAAGGUACAGAGCAUCACCCAUUCAAGCAUGUUCUGGGACAGACUUGAUGAGGAUGGCCCAUCUCCCCAGAGUUCUUCCUGGCUACAGUCCCAGGGCUACCCCUCCCCCAACUCUUCUCAUGGCUCCACGCCUGGGUAAACAGCAGAUAAAGGCAAGUCAGCCUCUCCUGCAGUCAGAACGCACCUCAGAGUCAAGAGUGACACAGAAAAAUGCCCCUGAGCAGACUCCUGUCCUCUUACCUCACAGAGUGAUUGACGUGACUCGUACCAGACACUCAUCGCUUCCACUAGGGAUUCCAUGCGACACCAUGAAAACACUGUCUGGUGUUGAGCAUGGUGGUGCAUGCUGAUAAUCUCAGCAUUUGGGAGGCCGUGGCUAAAUUACCAGAUUUAGACUAAGCAUGGCUGCGUAGUGGGACCCGGCCUCAAAAUAAACAAAUACAAUUCUGGUUCAUUCAUCUUGCCUUGAGAA